UACGGAGGGUGCAAGCGUUAUCCGGAUUCACUGGGUUUAAAGGGUGCGUAGGUGGGCUGGCAAGUCAGUGGUGAAAUCUCCAGGCUUAACUUGGAAAACUGCCAUUGAUACUAUCAGUCUUGAAUACCGUGGAGGUCAGCGGAAUAUGUCAUGUAGCGGUGAAAUGCUUAGAUAAUGACAUAGAACACCAAAUUGCGAAGGCAGCUGGCUACACGAAUAUUGACACUGAUGCACGAAAG
rnacentral:rRNA from 1 species